rnacentral:rRNA from 1 species
CCUACGGGAGGCAGCAGUGGGGAAUAUUGGACAAUGGGGGGAACCCUGAUCCAGCCAUGCCGCGUGUGUGAAGAAGGCCCUCGGGUUGUAAAGCACUUUCAGUGAGGAAGAACGCCUGGUGGUUAAUACCCAUCAGGAAAGACAUCACUCACAGAAGAAGCACCGGCUAACUCCGUGCCAGCAGCCGCGGUAAUACGGAGGGGUGCGAGCGUUAAUCGGAAUUACUGGGCGUAAAGCGCGCGUAGGUGGCUUGAUAAGCCGGUUGUGAAAGCCCCGGGCUCAACCUGGGAACGGCAUCCGGAACUGUCAAGCUAGAGUGCAGGAGAGGAAGGUAGAAUUCCCGGUGUAGCGGUGAAAUGCGUAGAGAUCGGGAGGAAUACCAGUGGCGAAGGCGGCCUUCUGGACUGACACUGACACUGAGGUGCGAAAGCGUGGGUAGCAAACAGGAUUAGAUACCCUAGUAGUC